rnacentral:rRNA from 1 species
CCUACGGGUGGCAGCAGUGAGGAAUAUUGGUCAAUGGACGAGAGUCUGAACCAGCCAAGUAGCGUGAAGGAUGACUGCACUAUGGGUUGUAAACUUCUUUUAUAAGGGAAUAAAACGAGGCACGUGUGCCUUGUUGCAUGUACUUUAUGAAUAAGGAUCGGCUAACUCCGUGCCAGCAGCCGCGGUAAUACGGAGGAUCCGAGCGUUAUCCGGAUUUAUUGGGUUUAAAGGGAGCGUAGGCGGGUUGUUAAGUCAGUGGUGAAAGGUUGCGGCUCAACCGUAAAAUGGCAGUUGAAACUGGCAGUCUUGAGUACAGUAGAGGUAUGCGGAAUGCGUGGUGUAGCGGUGAAAUGCAUAGAUAUCGCGAAGAACUCCGAUUGCGAAGGCAGCACACUGGACUGCAACUGACACUGAGGCUCGAAAGUGUGGGUAUCAAACAGGAUUAGAUACCCUGGUAGUC